CAAGAGCUUGCUACUCAGUGUCUCUCGUGCAGGGAGAGGCAGGCAAAGAACCUCUGUGUCCUACACAAGCUACAAGCAUGGAGGAACUGAAGGUCUUGGAGCAAACAAAGCUAAGAGGAAAUGUUCUAUCACAGUUGAGAACUUCACCCCUGGAGGGCCUGGUCUGUGACCCCCUGCUUGCCUUGGGAUGUGGCUGCUACCAGCAAGGGGAAACUCUCCUGUCCAUGGCAUGGGGGCUUGGCUCCUCCUCACCAUGAUGAAAUAUGCCCUGGAUCCCAGAUGUACUUCAUCCUCUGACCUGUUUGGGCCUGGAUUGGGAGGAAAGCAUUCACCAUGGAGAAGAAUUUUGUGUUCAGCUUCUCAACCCUUGGCCUGCGUUGUCUCAAGCUUUCCUACAGCUAAUUCAGAGCUAUUUGAAUUCCUGGUCCUGCUCUUGCUGCUGCUUGGCUGUCAGGCUCUGCUCCCCUCCCAGCUACUUCUGCCCUCCUGGCUGUUUGUGGCAGCCAGAGAGCACCUGAUUCUUGUAUCCCAGACCUUAAACCACAGCCUGGCAGCCUCCAAGGGAUCCUCCCUGCUUGGGGUGCUGUUUGUGGGACUGCUGGUGGCUCUGGAUCCCAAGGGGCGUUCCCAUCCCAUCACCACCGGCUGCCAGCAUCGGGAUCACGGCCACCCAGGGAGUUGGACAUCACGGAGCUGGACACACACCAGGGUAGGUAAUGGAUGUGACCCCCAAAAUUGGAAAAGCCACCAUGGAAAAUAUGACUCAACCUAAAGGCUCUGGGCUAGAGGAGGGAGACUUCCCCAAUCAGGGGCAAACCAGGCAAGCUGUAUUUUCUGAUUCACCCCACAGAGCUGCUCCUGGCCUGGUUUGGAGCAGUGUCCUGCGUUUUGUUUCUCCCUCUGUGCCAGCUCAUGUCUUUGCUCUCACAUAGGAUCUUGAGUGCUUUCCCUGAGCCAGCUUUGCUCAGCUCAGACUUCAGCAGAUCCUGCAUCUUGGUGGCAUUUCCUG
rnacentral:lncRNA from 1 species